rnacentral:rRNA from 1 species
AUUGAACGCUGGCGGCAGGCCUAACACAUGCAAGUCGAACGAGUGGCGGACGGGUGAGUAAUGUCUGGGAAACUGCCCGAUGGAGGGGGAUAACAAUGGGAAACGUAAGCUAAUACCGAUUACCAUCGGUUGUCCCCGAAUGGGAUUAGCUUGUAGGGGAGGUAACGGCUCACCGAGGCGACGAUCCCUAGCUGGUCUGAGAGGAUGACCAGCCACACUGGAACUGAGACACGGUCCAGACUCCUACGGGAGGCAGCAGUGGGGAAUAUUGCACAAUGGGCGCAAGCCUGAUGCAGCCAUGCCGCGUGUAUGAAGAAGGCCUUCGGGUUGUAAAGUACUUUCAGCGGGGAGGCGUUACCCGCAGAAGAAGCACCGGCUAACUCCGUGCCAGCAGCCGCGGUAAUUC